rnacentral:lncRNA from 1 species
AAGCCCAGGUGGAAUCUCUGACCUGAAAUGUAUAAAAUUUCCUUUCUUCAAAGUGCUUUUAUUCUCUUGGCAUAGGAACAAAUUGUACCUUGAGGGCCAGAUUUGCAAGUGGAUCCAUAUGGAGAAAUCUUUAUGUAUUGGGAACAUCAUUCAACUCAACGGGACGCUGUGAGGGCACAGAAGCUUGCCAGGUCCAAGCUGCAAUUUGAAAAGUGUUUUGUGCUCCUUCAAGGGGAACCUUUUGAGCCACAGAGGGUCUUUCACCUUGGCUCUGAAGACAGAAUUUGGCCCUUUGCAAUCUGUUCAGCUUCUGCCAGUUUUGCUGUCUGCCUCAGUAUCUGCCCUUGCAAAAUGAAAGAGAGAAGAGGCAUGUGUGAAUCUGGCCCAAGAGGGAAUAAGGAGGAAAGAAAGGUUGGAACCCCUGAAAUGAGCUGAUGGACACAGCCCAGCUUCUGGAGAUAAGAAUUCAUAUCACAAAAGCAGAACACAACAAUUUUAGCAAGAAGGCC